rnacentral:rRNA from 1 species
UACAGAGGUCUCAACCGUUGUUCGGAUUCAUUGGGCGUAAAGGGUGCGUAGGCGGCGGGGUAAGUCAGGUGUGAAAUCUCGGGGCUCAACCCCGAACUGCACUUGAUACUGCCUCGCUUGAGUACUGGAGAGGAGACUGGAAUUUACGGUGUAGCAGUGAAAUGCGUAGAUAUCGUAAGGAAGACCAGUGGCGAAGGCGAGUCUCUGGACAGUUACUGACGCUGAGGCACGAAGGCUAGGGGAGCAAACGGG